rnacentral:misc_RNA from 1 species
CCGAGUGCCAGCCCCUCGCGGGCUGAACCUCCCACCCUUGUCUCUGGUACACCCUGUUGCUUUGGCGGGCCCACCGGGGUCCUCCCCGGUCGCCGAGGGGCAUCCCGCCCCUGGGCCCGUGCCCGCCGGAGCGCCCAUGAACCCGAAUGAGGAUGGAUUGUCUGAGUGUGGGAUGAGAAUUGUCA